rnacentral:rRNA from 1 species
GACGUAGGGCGCGAGCGUUGUCCGGAUUUAUUGGGCGUAAAGAGCUCGUAGGCGGCUUGUCGCGUCGGCUGUGAAAACCUGGGGCUCAACCCCGGGCCUGCAGCCGAUACGGGCAAGCUAGAAUUCGGUAGGGGAGACUGGAAUUCCGGGUGUAGCGGUGGAAUGCGUAGAGAUCCGGAAGAACACCGGUGGCGAAGGCGGCCUGCUGGGCUAUGGCUGACGCUGAGGCGCGACAGCGUGGGGAGCAAACAGG